rnacentral:rRNA from 1 species
AUUGAACGCUGGCGGCAGGCUUAACACAUGCAAGUCGAGCGAGCGGCGGACGGGUGAGUAAUGUCUGGGAAACUGCCUGAUGGAGGGGGAUAACUCCUGGAAACGGUAGCUCAUACCGCAUACCAUCAGAUGUGCCCAGAUGGGAUUAGCUAGUAGGGGGGGUAAUGGCUCACCGAGGCGACGAUCCCUAGCUGGUCUGAGAGGAUGACGAGCCACACUGGAACGGAGACACGGUCCAGACGACUAAGGGAGGCCGCAGGGGGGAAUAUUGCACAAUGGGCGCAAGCCUGAUGGAGCCAUGACGCGUGUGUGAAGAAGGCCUUCGGGUUGUAAAGCACUUUCAGCGAGGAGGCGUUACUCGCAGAAGAAGCAACGGCUAACUCCGUGCCAGCAGCCGCGGUAAUUC